rnacentral:rRNA from 1 species
AUUGAACGCUGGCGGCAGGCCUAACACAUGCAAGUCGAGCGGAUGAAGGGAGCUUGCUCCUGGAUUCAGCGGCGGACGGGUGAGUAAUGCCUAGGAAUCUGCCUGGUAGUGGGGGAUAACGUCCGGAAACGGGCGCUAAUACCGCAUACGUCCUGAUGGAGAAAGGGGGGGAUCUUCGGACCUCACGCUAUUAGAUGAGCCUAGGUCGGAUUAGCUAGUUGGUGGGGUAAAGGCCUACCAAGGCGACGAUCCGUAACUGGUCUGAGAGGAUGAUCAGUCACACUGGAACUGAGACACGGUCCAGACUCCUACGGGAGGCAGCAGUGGGGAAUAUUGGACAAUGGGCGAAAGCCUGAUCCAGCCAUGCCGCGUGUGUGAAGAAGGUCUUCGGAUUGUAAAGCACUUUAAGUUGGGAGGAAGGGAAGUAAGUUAAUACCUUGCUGUUUUGACGUUACCAACAGAAUAAGCAACGGCUAACUUCGUG